rnacentral:lncRNA from 1 species
ACGAUUUACCGUUUUUUAUACGACCGCAAAAAUUGAAAAUUUUUUGGUCGUAUAUUGGUAUGAUGUUGGCGUCGUCGUCUGCGUCGUCGUCGUCGUCCGAAUACUUUUAGUUUUCGCACUCUAACUUUAGUAAAAGUGAAUAGAAAUCUAUGAAAUUUUAACACAAGGUUUAUGACCACAAAAGGAAGGUUGGGAUUGAUUUUGGGAGUUUUGGUCCCAACAAUUUAGGAAUUAGGGGCCAAAAAGGGCCCAAAAUAAGCAUUUUCUUGGUUUUCGCACUGUAACUUUAGUUUAAGUAAAUAGAAAUCUAUGAAAUUUUGACACAAGGUUUAUGACCACAAAAGGAAAGGUUGGGAUUGAUUUUGGGAGUUUUGGUUCCAACAGUUUAGGAAUUAGGGGCCAAAAAAGGGCCCAAAUAAGCAUUAUUCUUGGUUUUCGCACAAUAACUUUUAAUUAGUAUAAGUAAAUAGAAAUCAAUGAAAUUUAAACACAAGGUUUAUGACCACAAAAGGAAGGUUGAGAUUGAUUUUGGGAGUUGAGGUCCCAACAGUUUAGGAAUGAGGGGCCAAAAAGGGGCCCUAAUAAGCAUUAUUUUUGGUUUUCGCACCAUAACUUUAGUAUAAGUAAAUAGAAAUCUAUGAAAUUUAAACACAAGGUUUAUAACCAUAAAAAGAAGGUUGGCUUUGAUUUUGGGAGUUUUGGUCCCAACAGUUUAGAAAUAAGGGGUCCAAAGGGUCCAAAAUUGAAAUUUGUUUGAUUUCAACAAAAAUUGAAUAACUGAG